rnacentral:rRNA from 1 species
AUGGCUCAGGACGAACGCUGGCGGCGUGCCUAACACAUGCAAGUCGAGCGGGGACAUGCGACGGAUAGGAAGAUUCGGUUGGACUUGAAGAUGCAUUGUUCUAGCGGCGGACGGGUGAGUAACGCGUGAGCAACCUGUCCCUUACAGGGGGAUAACACAGCGAAAGUUGUACUAAUACCGCAUAAGACCACGGGAGGACAUCCUUCAGGGGUCAAAGGAGGAAUCCGGUAAGGGGUGGGCUCGCGUCCGAUUAGAUAGUUGGUGAGGUAACGGCCCACCAAGUCGACGAUCGGUAGCCGACCUGAGAGGGUGAUCGGCCACAUUGGGACUGAGACACGGCCCAAACUCCUACGGGAGGCAGCAGUGGGGAAUAUUGGGCAAAUGGGGGAAACCCUGACCCAGCAACGCCGCGUGAGGGAAGAAGGUUUUCGGAUCGUAAACCUCUGUCCUUGGUGAAGAGGAAGAGACGGUAGCCAAGGAGGAAGCCCCGGCUAACUACGUGCCAGCCGCGGC